rnacentral:rRNA from 1 species
GAUGAACGCUGGCGGCGUGCUUAACACAUGCAAGUCGAACGGAAAGGCCAGUGCUUGCACUGGUACUCGAGUGGCGAACGGGUGAGUAACACGUGGGUGAUCUGCCCUGCACUUCGGGAUAAGCCUGGGAAACUGGGUCUAAUACCGGAUAGGACAAUGGUUUGGAUGCCGUUGUGGAAAGUUUUUUCGGUGUGGGAUGAGCUCGCGGCCUAUCAGCUUGUUGGUGGGGUAAUGGCCUACCAAGGCGUCGACGGGUAGCCGGCCUGAGAGGGUGUACGGCCACAUUGGGACGGAGAUACGGCCCAGACUCCUACGGGAGGCAGCAGUGGGGAAUAUUGCACAAUGGGCGCGAGCCUGAUGCAGCGACGCCGCGGGGGGGAUGACGGCCUUCGGGUUGUAAACUCCUGUCGCUAGGGACGAAGCGUAUUUGUGACGGUACCUGGAGAAGAAGCACCGGCUAACUACGUG